rnacentral:rRNA from 3 species
UACGUAGGUGACAAGCGUUGUCCGGAUUUAUUGGGCGUAAAGGGAGCGCAGGCGGUCUGUUUAGUCUAAUGUGAAAGCCCACGGCUUAACCGUGGAACGGCAUUGGAAACUGACAGACUUGAAUGUAGAAGAGGAAAAUGGAAUUCCAAGUGUAGCGGUGGAAUGCGUAGAUAUUUGGAGGAACACCAGUGGCGAAGGCGAUUUUCUGGUCUAACAUUGACGCUGAGGCUCGAAAGCGUGGGGAGCGAACAGG